GUGUCAGCAGCCGCGGUAAUACGGAGGGUGCAAGCGUUAUCCGGAUUCACUGGGUUUAAAGGGUGCGUAGGCGGAACAGAAAGUCCGUUGUGAAAUCUCCGAGCUUAACUCGGAAAUUGCGGUGGAUACUAUUGUUCUUGAAUACUGUUGAGGUUAGCGGAAUAUGUCAUGUAGCGGUGAAAUGCAUAGAUAUGACAUAGAACACCAAUUGCGAAGGCAGCUGGCUAAACAGAUAUUGACGCUGAGGCACGAAAGCGUGGGGAUCAAACAGGAUUAGAAACCCUGGUAGUCC
rnacentral:rRNA from 1 species